GCUCCUGGAUCUUACAUCUGAGGACAUGAAUUAUGACGUAAGGACAGCUACAACACCAGUACAGCAAACUACAGGUGCGUUGUUGCUGGAUCUUACCUCAGAGGACAUAAAUUAUGACGUAACUACAGCUGCAACACCAAUACAAGAAACAACAGGAGCAUUGUUGCUGGAUCUUACAUCAGAGGACAUGAAUUAUGAUG